rnacentral:rRNA from 1 species
UGCAGUCGAGCGCACUCUUCGGAGUGAGCGGCGGACGGGUUAGUAACGCGUGGGAACGUACCCUUUUCUAAGGAAUAGCCUCGGGAAACUGAGAGUAAUACCUUAUACGCCCUUCGGGGGAAAGAUUUAUCGGAGAAGGAUCGGCCCGCGUUAGAUUAGAUAGUUGGUGGGGUAAUGGCCUACCAAGUCUACGAUCUAUAGCUGGUUUUAGAGGAUGAUCAGCAACACUGGGACUGAGACACGGCCCAGACUCCUACGGGAGGCAGCAGUGGGGAAUCUUGGACAAUGGGCGCAAGCCUGAUCCAGCCAUGCCGCGUGAGUGAUGAAGGCCUUAGGGUCGUAAAGCUCUUUCGCCAGAGAUGAUAAUGACAGUAUCUGGUAAAGAAACCCCGGCUAACUCCGUGCCAGCAGCCGCGGUAAUACGGAGGGGGUUAGCGUUGUUCGGAAUUACUGGGCGUAAAGCGCACGUAGGCGGAUCAGAAAGUAUAGGGUGAAAUCCCAGGGCUCAACCCUGGAACUGCCUUGUAAACUCCUGGUCUUGAGUUCGAGAGAGGUGAGUGGAAUUCCGAGUGUAGAGGUGAAAUUCGUAGAUAUUCGGAGGAACACCAGUGGCGAAGGCGGCU